rnacentral:misc_RNA from 1 species
UUUUAUUUUACUUUUCAUAUUUUUACUCAAUUUCCAGUGGAGACAAAAGGAAAAUGAGAAGAAGUUAGAGCUAAGGAAGGAAGCUGACGUUUCUUUUUUAUUAUGUAUAUAAAGAGAUAACCAAAGCAAAAGCUUAUGUCCCUUUUUUUUUUUUUCGGCAACUGAGAAAUCGUAGAUUUCUCAAGUGUUGUUUCUACUGUUAUUGUUGUUUA